rnacentral:rRNA from 1 species
GAUGAACGCUGGCGGCGUGCCUAAUACAUGCAAGUCGAGCGAACGGACGAGAAGCUUGCUUCUCUGAUGUUAGCGGCGGACGGGUGAGUAACACGUGGAUAACCUACCUAUAAGACUGGGAUAACUUCGGGAAACCGGAGCUAAUACCGGAUAAUAUUUUGAACCGCAUGGUUCAAAAGUGAAAGACGGUCUUGCUGUCACUUAUAGAUGGAUCCGCGCUGCAUUAGCUAGUUGGUAAGGUAACGGCUUACCAAGGCAACGAUGCAUAGCCGACCUGAGAGGGUGAUCGGCCACACUGGAACUGAGACACGGUCUAGACUCCUACGGGAGGCAGCAGUAGGGAAUCUUCCGCAAUGGGCGAAAGCCUGACGGAGCAACGCCGCGUGAGUGAUGAAGGUCUUCGGAUCGUAAAACUCUGUUAUUAGGGAAGAACAUAUGUGUAAGUAACUGUGCACAUCAUGACGGUACCUAAUCAGAAAGCCACGGCUAACUACGUG